UGCCAAAGCCAUUUCUGCCGCACAAAGUGGAGCUUUCCGAGCUGACCCGGCACCCCGUUUCUUCAAAAAGAUGGUGUGACGCAUAAUUGGUGCUUGCCGAUAUGUGGCUAGCAGAAUAGCAUCGUUCCUGCGCCAUGGAGAUCUGGCAGAGAGCAGGUUGGCCUCCAAGAACAAGCCAUGACGAACUGGCAUUCCCAAAAAACCAGUUGGGUCUCCAUCCAUUCCUCCCUCAGCCAGCCAGCCACCCCCUGAGGCUGCUUCCAAAGACAGGACUCAGGAACCCAAGUCUUGAUGAAAUAAAAUAAAAAGGACAACAAAGCGGAAAAUGACGGUUUGUUUAACAAAAUCCUGCAGAUGCAGAGAGGGAACAGACCCGAGAAACCCUUAUUCUGUCCUUCUCUCAUUGUUCCACUAUGAAAACAAACUUAAAUAAAGAAGUGUUUCAUGCAUUAAAAAAAAGAGUGAGUGUUUACACAAAAGGUGUUUUGGCUGCUGAUGAGGGGUUGAUCUUGCAAUGUAGAAUUCACAUUAAUUCCUUUUUGACAGUAAUAAUGAGCAAUCUGAGAUUGGUAGGUACAGAGAUUUCACUUGGCAAAUUGUUGUAAUGGAAUGGAAUUGUACGUUUUCUCUCCCUCAGGAGAUUAAAAAAAGUUCGGUCUUGCAUAAAGGAUCACAAGUUUAAGGGAUCUAAUUUGUUAUUUAAUAUAACUUGAGAUUUGCCAAGCAGGUUUGAGGAAAAACUGGUGGAUUGACAUUACUAAAGUUUGUUAAAGUUUUCAUAUUCAGUUUUAUUUUAAGUGCUGCUUUAUAUUAUUACAGUGAACUGUAUCUUCAUGAAGCCUAUGUUUCUUAUUUUUUGUUACUUGUGUUAUUUAAUAAUCUGUUAUUAAUAGC